rnacentral:rRNA from 16 species
GACUCUCGGCAACGGAUAUCUCCGCUCUCGCAUCGAUGAAGAACGUAGCGAAAUGCGAUACAUGGUGUGAAUUGCAGAAUCCCGCGAACCAUCGAGUCUUUGAACGCAAGUUGCGUCCGAGGCCACUCGGCCGAGGGCACGUCUGCUUGGGCGUCA